rnacentral:rRNA from 1 species
AACCUGGUUGAUCCUGCCAGUAGUCAUAUGCUUGUCUUAAAGAUUAAGCCAUGCAUGUCUAAGUAUAAAUAGUAUACAGUGAAACUGCGAAUGGCUCAUUAAAACAGUUAUAGUUUAUUUGAUAGUUGAAUGCUACAUGGAUAACCGUGGUAAUUCUAGAGCUAAUACAUGCGUAAAAACCUGACUUCUUGAAAGGUUGUAUUUAUUAGAUUACAAACCAAUAUUCCUUCGGGUCUAUUGUGAUGACUCAUAGUAACUGAUCGGAGCGAACGCAGUUCGCUAAAUCAUUCAAGUUUCUGCCCUAUCAGCUUUCGAAGGUAGUGUAUUGGACUACCUUGGCAGUCACGGGUAACGGGGAAUUGGGGUUCGAUUCCGGAGAGGGAGCCUGAGAAACGGCUACCACUUCUAAAGGAAGGCAGCAGGCGCGUAAAUUACCCC